GGAGGGUCCGAGCGUUUGUCCGGAAUCACUGGGCGUAAAGGGCGCGUAGGCGGUGACUUAAGCGUGUGGUGAAAGACCCGGGCUCAACCCCGGGUCGCCCGUGCGAACUGGGUCACUCGAGCACUGUAGAGGCAGGUGGAAUUCCGGGUGUAGCGGUGGAAUGCGUAGAGAUCCGGAAGAACACCAGUGGCGAAGGCGGCCUGCUGGGCAGUAGCUGACGCUGAGGCGCGACAGCGUGGGGAGCAAACAGGAUUAGAUACCCUGGUAGUCCACGCCGUAAACGAUGGGCACUAGGUGCUUGGGGGAACGACCCCCCGAGUGCCGGCUAACGCAUUAAGUG
rnacentral:rRNA from 1 species